GAUGAACGCUGGCGGCGUGCCUAAUACAUGCAAGUCGAGCGAACAGACGAGGAGCUUGCUCCUCUGACGUUAGCGGCGGACGGGUGAGUAACACGUGGAUAACCUACCUAUAAGACUGGGAUAACUUCGGGAAACCGGAGCUAAUACCGGAUAAUAUAUUGAACCGCAUGGUUCAAUAGUGAAAGACGGUUUUGCUGUCACUUAUAGAUGGAUCCGCGCCGCAUUAGCUAGUUGGUAAGGUAACGGCUUACCAAGGCGACGAUGCGUAGCCGACCUGAGAGGGUGAUCGGCCACACUGGAACUGAGACGCGGUCCAGACUCCUAAGGGAGGCAGCAGUAGGGAAUCUUCCGCAAUGGGCGAAAGCCUGACGGAGCAACGCCGCGUGAGUGAUGAAGGUCUUCGGAUCGUAAAACUCUGUUAUUAGGGAAGAACAAAUGUGUAAGUAACUAUGCACGUAUUGACGGUACCUAAUCAGAAAGCAACGGCUAACUACGUG
rnacentral:rRNA from 1 species